UACGUAGGGUGCGAGCGUUGUCCGGAAUUAUUGGGCGUAAAGAGCUCGUAGGCGGUGUGUCACGUCGAUCGUGAAAACUUACAGCUUAACUGUGAGCGUGCGGUCGAUACGGGCAUCACUGGAGUUCGGCAGGGGAGACUGGAAUUCAUGGUGUAGCAGUGAAAUGCGUAGAGAUCAUGAGGAAGACCAGUGGCGAAGGCGGGUCUCUGGACAGUUCCUGACACUGAGGCACGAAGGCCAGGGGAGCAAACGGG
rnacentral:rRNA from 1 species